rnacentral:rRNA from 1 species
UUUAUGGAGAGUUUGAUCCUGGCUCAGGAUGAACGCUGGCGGCGUGCCUAAUACAUGCAAGUCGAGCGAACGGACGAGAAGCUUGCUUCUCUGAUGUUAGCGGCGGACGGGUGAGUAACACGUGGAUAACCUACCUAUAAGACUGGGAUAACUUCGGGAAACCGGAGCUAAUACCGGAUAAUAUUUUGAACCGCAUGGUUCAAAAGUGAAAGACGGUCUUGCUGUCACUUAUAGAUGGAUCCGCGCUGCAUUAGCUAGUUGGUAAGGUAACGGCUUACCAAGG